AAAACUAGUGUGUUUAUCUGAUAGAUUAUUUGUGAUAUAAUCAAUUGUUAGUUCAAGGACUCUGUUGCUGGUGUUAUGACAAGCUGUCUAGCCUGAAGUUCAUGAUGGUACCAAAAUAUCCAGAGCCAGUAGUCUAACCUGCCUUAAUCAUAAUUUAACCCCCCUAGUGUUAAUUAUCACUAUGACACCAGUUUAGGUGUCACAACUAAGAGCAAUAUUAUGCCUUUACCUUUGUUCUGGUGGGAAUGUGUAGCUAAUUUUCAAAUGCUAAACACCAGCCCAGAUGUUCAGCUGCUGGUGACCCAAGGCUUGUUUUUGUGGUGGCACAGCUGUAAUGCCAUGGCUGAGUUUUACUUAGAAAGUUGUUGUCCAGAUGAUGCAAGAAAGAAUGUAAACCAUGUUAAAGUAAGUUCAGAGGCAGAAGUGAAAUUGUAGAGGCAGUAAUGGUUAGUUGGAAAACACUGAGGAAGGGCAGAAGUUGCAACACCCUCAGAAAGAAGGCAGAGACUCAGCAGACAGCACGGUGGCCAGAUGAGCGAUCGUGGCCCUCUCCAAAGAGGCAUGGAAGUGAAAACUCCCCUCUUGACCAACAGCUGCCUGCCUGCCCACCCAGCAAUAGCUGAAGUAGCCUGUAUUUAAGUACUUAUGUCAUAGUUAACGCUUGAGUAAUACUUAGCUGAGUAGCCUGUUAGUUGUACCUGCCUCAUGUGUGUGUUAGUUGAUACAAACAACUGUGGUUGUUGCUGUGUGGUUUUAACCCUUGUGGUCUUUUGGCAUAGUACAAGGUGCCCAACAAACAAUGACCCAUUGAGAAGAGAUUGCAGGUGUACUGUACAGUAAAGGACAUGGAGUCCCACCUGGCAGGACUAAUACAAUAGGAUCUGAACAAGAACUGAAAUUUCUGCCCAUCACCUGGUUUGAUUUACAUUUUGCCUCUACAGGGAUGGUUAGAAGGUAAACAAGUGUUGAUUCUUAAUGCUUAUGCUACUGGUAUUGGUGAUAGAACAUUAAACCCUACUAAAUAUUUUUGGGAUCAUAGGUAAAAUGAUGGAAGGGAUGCAAAUAUUCUGUAAAAAUUGUUCUUUCAGAUCAAUACCCGGGAGGGGAUGCACCAUGCAUUAUUUCUCCCCAAAUAAAUCACAGAUCCCCUAAUCUUCCAGCUGUGCGACCGCUGAUGGAGUGGCCACCAGGAUCGUAUCACUGUUUGCAGACGUUCCUCAAAGCAACUGAAACGAGACAUUCUCCAAAGUUAAAGACAGCAAGAUUAAUUUAUUAACUAUAACCAAAGGCAAAGAAAUCGAGCAUUGCGUGCUAAUAAUAAAUUGUAAGCAUACCAGUGAAGGCAGGAAACUGCAAUAAAAAUACGGUAGACACAGAACGAGACUGUGCGUCAAAGGAGUCCCUGUCGCCCGUGGGAAAAGCUCUCCGCUCCUCCGCAGCACCUGUGGAGCAGGGUCAGGAGCGCGGUGAGUUGUUUAAGUGUGCCAUCUAGUGACUGAGGACUGCUCGUGGGCAAGGCACAAACAGCGCCUUCGUGUAAGAAUUCCUCGCGUUUCUCUGCUUCAGAACAUCUCUAUGUUACUGCGGUUGCUGGUAAUCUGGUUACUGGAGAAGGUAAGAGAGCUCAGCCUCUAGAGUCGACUUAUUCUCAGGUGGAGUCACUGAGCAUUCAACAGUGAUAAUCUGUAAUCUGUGAAAUAACUGCCUUACCCUGUGGGUGCCACAGUCAAUUCCUCAUUUGUGAAGAAAUGUGGAUAUGGGGGGGAAGGGGUAUGGAGGUGUGACACAUAAUUAUUUUAUCAUACUCCUUUUUUUUGGUUCCUUUUUAACCAGAGUGGAGAAUUAUCUCAAAUACAGUGAUUUUGUCUUCAUGAGCAGGAUGAAGUUCCUUCUCAAGGUAUAGCCCUAAAGACCCUGGAGAAACCAUAGAAUAAAAAGAAAUUAAAUGGGUAUGAACUGUAUUUCCCAUCAUAGCAAAAGAGGUUGAAGUUUGUGUUUGUGCCAUCCCACUGAUGUUGUGCUGAAACCGCUGAGGCUGCUGGGGAAUUCCAGCUGCAAUCCUUGAUGACUGGCACUCCUUCACUGACACUUCUCUGGUAGCUCCCCUUCCCUUGCUCUGUUGGUACCUUCUGCACAGGCAAGUUAAAAAGCUAAAUAUGUUAGCUGCAAAAAAAUAACCGAGUUGAUUUAGCUCCUACUGAUGUAUAGAACCACCAAAUAGUGGACCAAACAAGCUUUUCUUGGGGACAUACACAAUGCAGAUUUUACACAUAAGGAAAAAAAAAGGCAUUUUGCUCAUUGAGAGCAUUACUUAACAUAUUUUAUGUUAAGGAAUGCUUAACAUAUUUUCCAUGAGAAAUACUUUUUUUUUCUGAUAAUUAUUUUCACAACUAGAAAAUUCACAUCUGCCAUAAUAUGACCUUUUUUGUGCUCUAGAAAAGCAAGAUGGGUAUUGAUUAUCCGAAAAAAAAAUAUUGUUUGAAAGACAGGACAGUGUAGAAUACAGACCUAUGUGUUCUUCCACCUGCAAUACAGGAAAUACAGGAGGAGACACAAGAGCCAGGGGAAACACCACAUUGCAUAUACUUGCCAUUUUCAAGCAUUACCGAUAGCUGGAAAAGAGAAAAAACCCUGCAAGUGCCUCAGGGAUGGGGACAGCUGUUGCACAUUGCUAAAAAGUCAGCUUGUAGCUUCCCAGGACUACAGGACAGACAGGGCGAAGAUAGUAGGCCAAAUUUUACUAAUCAUCUCUCAUGGCAAUUUUUUUAAUGUUACACAAUUGCAGGGGUUCUUCACCAGCUUCAGGUGGCUGAGGAAUGCAGUCAGAAGAUGUGAAAAUUUGAAAGUAAUUAAUGACAUGAUUUUAAUGACAAACCAAACAGUCACUCUUGUCUCACUUCUCCUUAGGAGAGGGUUUCAACAGAGAUUGCUUGCUCAUGUGGAGGGAAAGCAGCGGUAGCAAGUCUCCUCUCAGCUACAAAAGUUUACAGAGAGGAUUUGCAAUAGUGUCAGGGAAAUCUCUUUAGACUGUUGGUGGAAAUCCAGCUUGAGGAUGGGAUAAGAGACCACUAUUAGCUUCCAGAAGCUGGCUGGUUUUCUGACACAUAAAUUAUACUGACAGCAAAGACAAUUGUGACCUCACAGCUACUUACCUGAGGGCUAAGAGCUGCCUUGGGUCCUCAGCAGGCAGCCAAACAAGGUAGCAUCGCACAAGGAGACUUUGUCAGACAUGCCCUGUUUUGGUGGUAGGGGCUCUUCUCUCCAGGCAAUUUAUGGGAAGGAGACUGUGACUUUUGGGCCUUCAGUAAGAGAAUUUCAAAGGGAGGAAGAAGCAUGAAAGAAGGGGUUGCCCAGUAGAAAGCAGCACGUAACCUAAAGAAUAAGAGAAGAAGAAAGAAACUGUUUGUUGAGCUUUAUCUACUUAAAGUUAUCCACAGACAGGCAACAGGCAGGACUUGGUCUGGCAGAUGACCCAACAGCUUUGAUCUUCCUUGCUUAUGCAGUGUGGGUUCUUCAGCAACUCCCAAGGCAGCUGGCACUGCAGAAAAAAAUAACCCCUGAGUUGCCAGGUGUGUCUUUUGUAACACAAUAGCUGCUCAGUAAGAAUCAGAGGGAAAUGGCCAACGUAUUUCUGUGAAAUAAUGGUUACUUGACCAGAGCUUGAAAUUUGACCUUUUUUGGAAGUAAAAGAUAAGGUAUAUAGGGAAAAUAAACAGUUUCUCAAAAAUAAGCAACCAUCUCCAAUCAAAAUCAUGAAUUUUAAUGUGCUGGCCCCUCUCCCUUGCUCAUGCUCUUAUUUUCAUAUUGCAUAUGAGCAGCAAGGGGUACAGGAGAGGGAAAAGAAGAUGCUCUCACAUCUUUUGGGAUUUGGCUUAAGAGACACUGUCUAUAACCAAAGCAACCAGUUCAAACAUGAACAAUUUCUUCUGAAGCACAGAAGCUGCAGCAGCUGAUGUCAUGAACAAAAGUAGGCAGGUAAACAGAAAUAGAGCAAUGGAAAAGGAGAUAUGAGACUCACAGCCCUGAAUUUCACAAGCAGCAGUAGUUCAUAAGCAAUGAGCUAUAAAAAGCAAAACUGACCAAGAAAGGGAGUCAUCAUCAGCUUCAAUGAAAAUGCACAUCUCUACCACCUCUGUGUAGCAUUUCUGGCAGCAUGAAUGCUACUUUAUGGGCUUAGACACAAAUCACAAAUGCUUCCUCUGUGAAAGAAGAAGAGCAAGCUCUAUUUAAGUUCAUCCAAAAAUGCACUGAGAGGAGAAAGCUCCAAAUAAUUAUGGUACCGGAAGCAUUCAAAACAGGUUACCUAAGUCAGAGAUAUUAAUCCAGUAAGAGAAUUCCCAAGUGCUGAAUCACAUGUUCCUGAAACACAAUUCCUAUCUCAGUGCAAACAGUUGCCAUAGGUAUCUGUGGACAUGCGAGAAGACAGCUGCCCAGGAAGAACCACGUUACUGUCCUAGGGCUUCAUGGGGCAGCCUUUCUGCCUGAAGGAUGCUGCUUGACAAAGCUUUGGUAGAUGAGAUGCCAUUUAAAGCUUCCCUCCCCUGGCUGCCUUGCUUUUUUGUGGGAGGUGCUGCCUGGAGGUCUCAGGGGUUUGAAGGCAAGGCCGUGACAAAAGGCAAAGAAAAGCCCCAAGUGCCAUUUGUGGACAAGCAGAGCUUACUUACUACAGUCUGUGUCACUGCUCCCAUGGCAGAAACUGGACCACUCCCAGACUGCCUGCUCACGAGGAGCGGGCUCUUCUCCUUGUCUGGAGCUGUCAAGUCACACCCUCCUUGUCAAUAGCCACAGUGCACUCACAGCGGCAGGACUAAUGACACCCUUGGGUGGAGUCGGCUCCCAGAGAUUAAAUCUGAUCCUCUCCCUCACAAGCUUCAUGGUGACAGGGCACUAAUGCACCGAGCUGUACUAGUGCCAUGCUCUAAGCUAUGAGGGUAGCAUCAUUUACCAGAAAAAAUAUCUGCUUUAGACCAGUUAAUGUUAUCCAAUAACACAUAGAGGUGGUGAUGAUCAGGAUUAUAUCAAUAGCUGAAACUAAGGUAGAAAAUUCUGUUGUGUUUUCCAACUACAUUUGUUUCUCCCAUGUACACACCUGGUUUCCUAAUCAAUUUUCUACCUGCACAUCCUUUCUUUCUAAAUACUGCAGGCAUUCACAUUCCUAGGAAUGCUCUGAAGGAUCAAAACAUACAUUUUAAAGCUUGCAGAACUCAGGCUAAAGCCCUAACCUAUUUAUGGCCUCCUUUUAUGGAUAAUAGAAACCAGUAAUUCUGGGAAAGUCUACACUGACAGGAAGAAGAAAGAAAUGCAGCAAUUUCAAAAUAAAAAAAAAAAUUCUUCAUAGUCCUGGAAGAUAAUGGUUCAUUUUUUCAAAACUAACAUUAAAAAGUACAACUCUGCAGAGAAUCAAUCUAAAAAAUACUAGAAGGCCCUACAUAGCAGAUACCAAUACUGAAAGGAUAGUAAUAGACCUCUGGGGAAACCAAGCAUGCCACCUUCAUGCCAAGGAAAUUAGUCCUUCUACCAUUAGCCUUUACAUAGGUUUUGAUGUUAUACCAUGUGUUAAUUAUUUCCAAAUCACAAGUGCAAACACUCACCCUGAUUGGAAAAUUAGCAGAUUUCAAACUCAGGUAAUUUCCCCCUAAUGAGGAACUUGUUGAACUGAAUUUAACAAUUAGCUCACACCCUUUGCUGGCUGGGUAUGCAAAGGCUACAAGGAGACACAGAAACUCAAAAGUCACCUUUUUCAGUAAUUUGCAAUAAAGGAUUAAUAUAAAUUUAAAGCUGUUUCCAUGCUUUGGAAUGGAAAGCUUCUAGUUCCUCCUUUGGUUCUUAAGGCAAUGACUUUCAAAGGGUGAUAGAGGAGGAGGUGCUACCUAUACUGAAUAGUUCUCCCUUGUUUUCUAGCCUUUCUGCUCUAGAUCAGUUCCUUUGGGUAGCUUUCGUUACUUACCAAGCCUCUGCAAAAUGGAUUUCACAGCUUAAAAAGGUUAAACUUUUGAUUUAUUGGUCAACAUACAAAGCGUGUAGGCAGAGCUAACAAGUUAAAGUACUCACCACCCCUGAUAAGGCACCCGAGGAGCCCUGGCUGGCCGAGUUUACUUUCAAUUCUAGAGGAGACGAGUUGGCUUUUGUGGCCACUUGGAAAGGGCUGAUUGUUGACAUUGCUCAACUGCCAUUCUUGGGCUAGUUGGUUUUGUUUCUGUAGGAUUUCACAUGCUUUUCAUAUUGUUUUUUCUUGUUAAGAACCCUUGAGCUGCUAAUUAUCCCUGUGUCAACACUGCCCUUUACCAGGCAUCUUACCUUUCUCCUUAUGGCUCUGCUCUGCAGAAGAUCUCUCAGUGCUUCUGCACAGCUUAGCAGUUCUCCAAGAGGUCUGAACCAAUUUCAGCUGGUAACAAAACCAUUCCUUAGUUCCCAGAUGGCAUCUGUGAUAUGAUGCCUGAGUCUCUGAAGGGGAAACUGACACUUUUCAGCUGCUAAAUUGCAUUAAAGGAAACAAAAGUAGUUCUAUCCUACCUUUAGUUUUCUACAUAUGCUGUGACCUACCUGCAGAAUGGAUGCUGGACAGACAGGUCUUAAAGAAUGUGGUCUAUUUGUAGUUGUCAAGAGACCAGAUAUCCACAAAUGAAAGGGAUGCUCUCUCCCUAGAACUGACCAAAACUGUCCAAAACAUUCCCAAAAUCUGUCUGAUUUCUCCCACAAAACUGUAAAAGUUAUUAAAUAAAUUCUUCUUCCUGUUUUUCAAUGCACUUUCUGCAGCAGAGUUUUCCUUGUUUGAAGAACAAUAAAAAUAUUGCGAGAUUUCAAGCUACCUUAGCAGCAUG